rnacentral:rRNA from 1 species
ACGGGGGCAGCAGUGGGGAAUAUUGCACAAUGGGGGAAACCCUGAUGCAGCGACGCCGCGUGAGCGAAGAAGUAUUUCGGUAUGUAAAGCUCUAUCAGCAGGGAAGAAAAUGACGGUACCUGACUAAGAAGCCCCGGCUAACUACGUGCCAGCAGCCGCGGUAAUACGUAGGGGGCAAGUGUUAUCCGGAUUUACUGGGUGUAAAGGGAGCGUAGACGGCGAUGCAAGUCUGAUGUGAAAGGCCGGGGCUCAACCCCGGGACUGCAUUGGAAACUGUAUUGCUGGAGUGCCGGAGAGGUAAGCGGAAUUCCUAGUGUAGCGGUGAAAUGCGUAGAUAUUAGGAGGAACACCAGUGGCGAAGGCGGCUUACUGGACGGUAACUGACGUUGAGGCUCGAAAGCGUGGGGAGCAAACAGGAUUAGAUACCCUGGUA